GUGAUUGCAGGUCAAGUAGAAUAAAGGGGGUAAUUACAGAGCUGAUAAAGGUGUUUAGAAGGGGUUGUAUAAAGACUAAGUGAAGGAUGCACAGUAGUGUGUUUUUGCAGGUGCUGAGGUGGAUCUUGAAGAAGCUUCAUCAGCCACCGAUGCAGCACAUUUUGGCAGAUCUCAUGGAUGUUUUUUGACUAAAGCAAGCUAAAGAAAUAUUGUGUGUCAACAAGAUAAUGGAGAAGACAAGCUUUAUGGAAGACUGCCCUUCUGCCUUCUCCUGGUUUGACUGCUUAGCUUCUUAGAACUGUUGCAAUCUUUCAUAAAAUAAGUCUCCUGCAGUUCCAUCUGGGAUAUCUUAUUCUGUGUAAUGGAAUUA